UACGGAGGGUGCGAGCGUUGUCCGGAAUCACUGGGCGUAAAGGGCGCGUAGGCGGCGCGGAUAGUCGGCGGUGAAAGCCCGGAGCUCAACUCCGGGUCGGCCGUCGAUACUUCCGGGCUUGAGCACUGUAGAGGCAGAUGGAAUUCCGGGUGUAGCGGUGGAAUGCGUAGAGAUCCGGAAGAACACCGGUGGCGGAAGGCGGUCGUGCUGGGCAGU
rnacentral:rRNA from 1 species